rnacentral:SRP_RNA from 1 species
GCUGGGUGCGGUGGCUCACUCCUGUAAUCCCAGCACUUUGAGAGGCUGAGGCAGGCAGAUCACAAGGUCAGGAGUUCAAGAAGAGCCUGGCCAAUAUGGUGAAACCCUGUCUCUACU